GAAAGAGAAUGCUCCAUUGUUGAACUUAGAGUUUCGGUCAUAACCCUCCUUGCAUUUGCCAAAUUUGCGGACUGACCUUAUGGAUGGACUAGAAGCUCACAGUAUUCAACUAUUUUGGUAGAUGUUUUCUAUUUUGGGAUGUGACAUGUAUAUAGACAGUUGUGAAUUUUUAAAUUGUUAUGUUAUAAUGAUAUAUCUAGUUAAAUGGUUGGAUGCGUAUUUGUUUUUGGUUAGGUUACUCCUUAAGGUCUUAAGGUCAAGAAAUUGGUCUCAAACUGUAUGCUCACUUUGAUCUUAGAUUGUUCUCAAAUUGUUUUUAGGGCCCUGCAUGCUUGUUUUAAGGCCUAUUUGUGUAUGUAUACUAGGAAUUAAAUUAUUUGGCAAAUGCUAGUAUUUAGUUAAAAAAUUAUGUCUGUUAAAUAGUUAAA